CCUUUGUACACACCGCCCGUCGCUACUACCGAUUGAAUGGCUUAGUGAGGCCUCCGGAUUUGUCUAGUGCUGGGGGCAACCUCGGCGCGGGACGGAGAAGCUGGUCAAACUUGGUCAUUUAGAGG
rnacentral:rRNA from 1 species